UUCCGGAAACCUGAUGAAGUCAUGCAAAUAUGGAGAUGAUAUUAAAAUUUUAAACUUGAAUCCAAACAAAAGUGGGAAGAAUCAAAGUGGUUAGGGAGGUGGGUGAGAAUACAUGCUAUAGAAGAGCUUGAUGAUGGGGUCGACAACUCAAAAUCUUGCGAUGAUGAGUAUCCUCAGCAGAGUAAAACAAUCCCAACAACAAAGAAGGCAACUCAGGCUCAAAAUGGGUGGAUGCAGAACAAAGAAGAUAGGUGGGGUCUUGAGAAUGGAAUUACCCUAUUUGGUGGCAUUGAUUCAUUCCAACCCCGCAAUAUUGUUGAGAAGUGCCUUAGACUCCCGAACCUACCCAAUACAUUUCAUUGAGUCAAAGAUAGAAUGAACUCUUUCCCUUGUAUGGGAAAUUUUGGUGAGUUAUUUGAGUUUGAGAAUUGAUUAUUAUUGAACCUUAUUCCUGCCACCCAUGUUUAUCCUUCAUAAUUAUAUAUUUUUUUCUUCUUCUGCUAAAAGAAAGCUUUACUAAUCCUUGAAAUGUUGUCUCUGGUUCUAUCAAAAAUAGAAAUCCGUUGGAAACUAUUGGUGGUGUUAACCAUUAGCACUCAUUUGUGUUUGUAUCUCAAAAAGUUUAUUUGCUAGAGGAUGAAAGAAGAACUUGGAACAUGGAGAGAGCAAAUUUACACUGGAAUCAGGAAAUUUCUUAAAGAGGCCGUGUACAUUAUGCUGAAUAGAAGUUAUGAUAAGAACUUUGAGAGAACCAGACCACAAAAGCCAGCUACUAUAGUUGAAAAGAGAUCCCACUGUUCAAGGUGACCCCGCACUAAAAUUGCAAUUGGAUCCUAACAUCUUUCUAUGUUUAGCAGCCCCAACAAGUUAUGCGCGAACUUUUUGACCAGUCUUGGGUGAACGCCAACACCACUCUGCUCAAGUUGCUUAUUUGUUAUCGAGAGGCCAUGUGCUUAAUAUUUGAUAGAAAUUAUGAAAGGAAUCUGCAGAGAACAACACCACAUAAGCUAGUUGUUGUAGUUGAAGAGCCCAGGGCCUUAUAAACCCCGCACUAAACAUGCAAUUGGAAUUUGGAUCUUGACAUUCCACUACGCUCUCUAGCCUUGGUGUCCAUGCGGGCUAGCUGUGCACUAACCCUUUGACUAGUGUUUGGUGGACACUGCAAUGCCAGUCACCCUGCCAACUUUGCCCAUUUUUUAGUUGAGGGAAGUAGUUGAUAGGUUCUGGUACUGAUUGAUGGAACUGGUAUCAAUAUGACGAGAAAGAACAUUUCUGUAUUGAAUAAAACCAGGGAGAAGUUCCCCAGGGAGUAAUGCACGAUUCUAGAUAUUUAAUGAGGUGUGGAUCCACUUCUUACUUCAGUUUCUUAAUCACCAAAAGUCCCAUCAAACCAUUUACAGUCUUCCUAUUUUAUAGGCAACUAUUUAUCUACAGUUUAUAACUGUAACCCAUCCUUAAUGGGCCUAAUUAGGUGCAUGCCCCAUUCACCUUUAUUCUAACAUAAACCUGCUUGAUCACAGGUCUGCUAUCUGUUGUAAAUACUUUAUUAGCAUUAAUUUAGGACAGAAUGUUUCCUGCGCAAAUUUCUCAAACUGAUAGCCUGUAAUUACUAGGACAUUAUAUGUCUAUUGUGAUUAGCCAAUAUUAGUAGAUUAAAUUAGUAUAUUAGUGCUUGUAUUUGAUAUCAAUGAUAAUAUUUGAAACUUCAUUCCUUUUCAACUUGGUAUUAGAGGCCAUAGCCCACUUUUGUUGAUUCUGGGGUUUGUGGAAGGGGAUUUUUAUUGUUUUCAUAGUUUUCUUCAUGUAUCGUUUGGUCCAAUAGACAUGUGUGAAGGGGGGUGUUAAAAAUUUCCUCAUUGCGUACUUUAUAUACUUAUUGGGGAACUUCACUUAAUUAAUGUCAAUUGAUUUUAAGAUGAAACCUAAGAAUUAUCAAAUUAAGUGCCUAAUGUUGUCUUAAGUCAGAUGCUAAUCUAAAGAAACCUUGAAAAUUAUCAUUAUGGUCACAUCAAAUGCAGUAGUAGCACAUAUUGCAAAGUGCAUAUAUACUCUGCCUCUUUACUUCGGCUCCAACAACUAAAUCUAUUAACAAAAACAUUGGCACAGGUACUUUGCCUCUUUACAAAACAUACCUAGCAUUUGCCAGAAAAAUUAAGCAAUUGAUGUUAAUGAAUAAUGAUCCAAGCAUACCUAGCAUUUGCCAUAAAAGUAUGACGAAUCAUUCACUAAGAACAAUAAGCUAAAUUUUCAAAACAUUGAUUUAAUGUUAUAUUUCAUUUCUUUUAAUUUUCUUCUGUUGAAAUGGGAAAUUUUAUUAUUAUAGAUCAAACUACAGGGUGUGAUUUUGAAUGUUAUAUUGGGCUUGUUUAUCAUUACAAUAUGCUAGUUAUUGGAUGUGAUUCCACAAUAUGCCCAGUAUUUGCCAAAAAAGCAUAAAGAACAUAAGCUAAAAUUUCAAAACAUUCAUUUAAUGUUAUAUUUCAUUUGUUUUAAUUGUCUUCUGUUGAAGUGUGACAUGUUUUCUUAAUAUAGGUCAAACUACUGGAUGUGAUUUUUGAAUAUUCAUAUAUUAGCAUUGUUUAUCAAGCCUAGUGACUUACUCUUUAAACUGGUAAAUACAUAAAUUGAUUGAGGGUUUAUAAUGCAUUUUUCGCCACAAUUUCUCUCCUUAAUCUGUUCAUCGGUGCUGUUAAUACUUAAUCUAUUCUUCCAGAUGAGAAAUUCACCAUGUAAAACAAAUAACAUAUGUGAGAGAAACUUACAUCUCAGAAGGUAGAUACAUUACAACCCUUGCCUUUUCAAUUUCCUUUCUAGCAAAACGUUUAUUUUUCCUUUAUACUUGGUUCAACCCUACAUUUUUAUGUCUGUCAUUUGCUAUGCCAUUUAGACUUUAGAGGGAAAUAAUAAUGGGCUUUUUAUCAUUUUACAUCCUUUGCUCUAGUUAAUGUACUUGUACCUCACAAUAAUGGAAGUUGUAUUGUAUGUCUUAUGCCUAAGUCCUAUUCCACAGCUCCAACAUGAUAAAUUGUGUUCAAUUUUGGCAAACAAAAGUCAGGACAAGACAUAUUUCGGAAUAUCAGUAGUCGUAUUUUCAAUAGCUACAGUAACAUUAUGUUUGGCAAAAUACUUGUCUAUUUUCAAUAGCUACAGCAACUUAUGCUGCAUGUUAUUGAAGUGGUAGAGCAGACCUGUAGAAAGGGACAUGAAGUUGGUUGGGAUCUUUAGGCACUGUCUCCCGGUUAACUGUUAUAUGUACUACAAUUCAAUUAAGCCCAUCAGAAUCACAAAUAAGGUUCAUCUUUUUAUCUUUUGUUCUUGUUGAUCCGUAUUUGUUGCUUUUUUUAAAACAAAAUUCGUUAAGAUUGAAGAGAUAGGUACAUUAUACAUAUGCUAUAGGGUAAAAAGAAUCCUUAAAUAUAUCAUGUAAAAAGGAAGAAGUAUGAACAAGUAACAUGCAAUAUGUCGAAGGUCUAAUAAUAACCAUUAGCAGAACUCCACAAAGAAGCUACGUGAACUACACAAUCCCGAAUGAAUUCAAGAGUCAAACAAUGACCAGUAAAGAUUCUCGCAUUUCUUUCUGACCCAAUUCACUAGAUAAUUGCGAAUUGAGAGCUGCACACGGGAACUACUUGGGCCAAAUCCUCUAAAAUUGACGUGUGGGCACUGCUGGAAUUGUGCAACUUGUUUCCAUGAUUCUCCUGUUUUCACCUGAACAGAAACAGUUGGCAUCUGUUGUACAGUGUGCCAUAAAAAAGGAUGGGUUCAGGAACCUUUUGCAUAGAUGCCUUUGUUCCAGUAGAAGUUCCCCUAAUUUUUUCUCUCUAGCAUCUUUGUGCUCUGGAGGACACUGGACUUGGUAUUUGCUAAAUAAACCAUGACUUCUGCAACAAGAAGGAUGGAUCUGUUGGACGAAAAACUGGAAUGAAUGGAAGCCUGAACUGAGAGCAGAAUUUUUUUCUAGCAUGGAGAACAGAUUGGGGCACGCGUAGGACAAAAUAGAAAGGUUGGAGGUCAACUGGACGAAGAGGCUUCAACAUGUAAUUAAGAAUGUAUUGGAACAAAAGGUCGAACAUGAGAAUUUCAACAAGAGGAAAUUCUACAAGAAUAAAUUAGAGUCAGAUUGCGAUCUGCAUGGCUUGGAUGAGUAUCUGACGGUAGUUAAGAAAGCAUUUCUGUGAACCUUAGACGGGGUAAAUACCCUGUGGGAUGGAACUUUGAUUUGCAGAAUACAAGUGCUGAUGUGAGGAUUUGCAGAAUAAAACCAUAACUGGGCAACAUUUAAAAGAGCCUCCGUUGCAAGCUUUGUUGGAACAAAGGUUGAAAAUCCAUAUGAAGAUGCCAUAGAAGCUUUUGAAUCUGUAUCCUAUCAAGUAAGAAAACUACUGAACGAGCAGUCGCUUGGUAUCCAUUAGUGCCUGUGGGCCUGAUUUAGAUCCUUGGCUUCUACGAAUUCUGAUGACGGUUAUUGAGGCAAUAGCAGUCUUUGCUCUGUAAAGAUCAAGGAGGCUGAUCGUCCCAGAGGUUUAGGGAGGGUUAAUAAGGAUGUAAAGCAAGUUUAGAAUACAUAAGGAGUUAAUCUUCAUGCGCAAUAUUAUGGGAAGAUUACUAUCAGGUCACCUCUCAAUCUCAAAUUUGUUUUUGCACUGUAAGCUCGAAUCUUAGGACCCAUUUUUUCAUCAUCUUGUCUGUAUUUUACACAAUGGUUCAAUGUAAUUGUUUCCUCAAAAUUUUUUUUUUUGACUGAGCUUAUUUUUAGAAUGAGAUAUGACUAUACAAGAUUGUUUGCUAUGGAACAUUUACAUGAUAAUGGGUAACUCUGGAUUAGCAUGACGUUUAAUCUUAAAGUUUUUCCAUCAGAUA